AAAAAUAAAAGAAUAUACUCAUUAGAGAAAGAAAUCAUAUAUUGGAUAAAGCUGUUGGAUUACAAUGGUUGAUAUUACAAGGGAAACAUCAUCGAAAUGUGAUGCAUAACCUAAAUAUUUUCUUGACAGCGAAACUUACAUAAAAAGCAUCCUUCAACAUCCCUACAACUUAACUAAACUUAACCGGGGAACACCAUCCGACAGAAACAUCAUCCCUACAACUUAACUAAAACUGAUAGCAUCCAUCAUCAUCAUCAUGGACCGGAACAUCAUUAUCAUCAUGAAACGGAACAUCAUCAUCAUUGCAAUAUACUUGCCACGCACCAUUAUAAUCAUCCAUAUAUCUUUUGAAUCUACAAAGAAAAUAACAAAAUGAACUGUUAAUACACAAUGCAUUGACAUGAUGAAUGUAGUGAUAGAGGCAGCAGGAUGUUAGGCACGUACGUACAAAGGUUGAAGGCUAUGCAAUCUUCUUUUUUCUGCAUUAUCGAGAGUAUUGCAGCUUUUGCGACUCCGUACCGAAUCUUCAGUUUUCACAAGUGCCAUAUCGACAUGCACUACCAAGAAUUCAUUUGUAAUUUUAGCAUCAUCAAGUUUAAAUUUAGGAUCACAACUUACAACUAUAGCAAGAGCUACGUCCCUAUUAUGAUUGUGAAAAGAUACCGGCAUGAGUGUUAGUUGUCAUUGAUGACUAAUCACGACGCCACAAUAUAUGACACAGCCUGCAGAAAAACAUGGCUUAAUAAAAUUAUAUGGAGAGUAGCCUAAGUGCUGAUGUGCAUUCAAGGGCAAUUGUGAGUGACAGUACCACUUCUUUUCUCUUCUCCAUUUAGUUAGCAAACUGAACUAAAAAGGUUUUAGUGAUCUGAAACCAAAACAUUUAGCUCUAGUUGGUUUCAGUCAUCCAACAGGAAACAAACAAACCUAAAGGUGCUCACCACGCUUUGGAACAAAACUACAGCCUCAAAUCCACUGAAACGAAUUUACAUAGUUAUCACCAGCCUAGAGAUCCAUUGCUAAUUCUGUACACCUACAGUCAAACUGUUUUGUGUGAACCAACAGAAUUAUUUAUUACUAAAUAAAUUCACUGACCUACAGCCCCAAAUGCUAUAAAUUGGCAUGGACAGCAGCAUAGAACCUAGCACGGCUCAAUGGUCGUGGACACAUUGAGCAGUACCAUGGUAGGGAGAGGGAGAGAGUAUACCUUCCAUGGCAUCGUCCAUGACUUGCUCCACGAACUCGACUUGCUCCAUGGAGUCGCCGUACAUCGAGUUGGUGCGUGUAGCUUCAAAACCAAGGGAAAAAGGUUACAGGUGUCUCAUGCAUCUCUAGAACAGUGCAAAAGAAGUAAACUUCAUCAAGAUCAAUCCGUACAUAAUAAAAGAAGAGCAACCUAUCCUGUUCUAUAUGUACUAGUUACUACCUUGGCAACUUUACAUCUGGCUAAAUGAAUUUAUCCCUGAGUUAGCUAGACUAGUCAUUAAGCCGUGCUUCUGCAUAGGCUAGACAGUUUUAGUUUACCAUAUAUAACUGGAACAUAUUUAUGUGAUAAAAAAAUAUUAGAACCAUAAAUUUUAAAAGAAGCAUACUUUUGACUAACUGAGAAAUAUUACAUGUGAUAUUGUGUUGGCUUCCAUGUGGCUAAAGUAAAUUUAAUUUUAGUGAAGGCAUUUGUACAUACUAUUUAUCAUUCCUAUAAAUAAAGUUUCCAAAUUAUAAUUUGUAUGAAAAAGUCAGGAACCUAAGGCUAGAAAAUAUACAGAGGAUAUUGGUGAAUGUUCUGAUUUCCUUUAAUUACAUAGCAGGAGUCUAAAUCUUGUGUGCUCCUAAUAUUAGCUAUAUGGAAACCCCAAAUGCAUCCCAUGCUUUAGUGAUUUCGGUUCAGAAAAGGAAACCACAGUUUCUAGUUAACAAACAAAACUAAAGCUGAUGUACAUGAAUAUCUGUCUUGUAUAUAUGCAAGGCGUCAUUAAGAAAUGUUUUCUGAAAUAAACACGUACAUCAUUCAAAUAUUCUACAUAAGAUACACAUCAAAUGAUCAUGUUAAGCCACCUAUAAACAUCAAAGUGAUCGAAAUGCUUGCUGGAGGCAGAAGCAGCGGCGAAGCCAGCCUCGGGGAUCUGUGGGGUCAGUGGUAAUUUUGUUGAUUAUUUUUUUCACAAUGAACAGUAAUUGUACAGUGUUUUACGGCUGUUUUUCACAAAAGUUAUGGGGUCAGCUGACCCCACAGCUUAC
rnacentral:lncRNA from 1 species